UGCCCAGCAACUCCUAUCCCUACCUCCUCGUGGUACUGGCCGGAGUACGAGUAACCUUGGGGAAGAUCGGGUAACCAACCCCCGGUGGGAACUUUGGUCGUAUGCUGACAGGGAAGG
rfam:Aedes aegypti strain Liverpool supercont1.180 genomic scaffold, whole genome shotgun sequence.